ensembl:lncRNA
UGUGCAUUUCAAUUUCAGCCCAUUGGCUUAGGCUGUAUAUUCUUGGCUCCGUUUCUGAGCAGGCGCCUCCAGAGAGCCCUCACUGUAAGCCGGCCAUAACGAGGUGCCUGCCGUUAGCAGUGUCGAUAGCGCAGAGCUCCCGCUCUCCUCCAUCCCUCCACCCUGUCCCCAAAUAGUUCUGCUCAGCAAAUGAAAACAAACACUGGGAUGGCCCUGAGAGCACAGCAGUGGUGCCCCAAGGCAAGGAAUCACCACAGACCCCUGAGGCUGGUGUGGAGGAGGAGAAGCCAGAAAACAGCACCAGAGCCAAUGAUUUGUGAAAGAGUUUCCAUGGAAAUAAGUAGGAGGCAUUACUUUUGGAGUGACCUAUGUAGCAUGGAAUUUCUGCUGGGAAUCAGAGUGGAUGAAUGCAACUUUCCUUCAUCAGGUUUCUUGUCUGGAGUCUCACAAGAAAUACAUUUCAAAAUGAAAGUCUACAGUAUGUAUGUGCAUAAAGUUUUCCAUAAAUAUGUACUAGUACUAUUUUCUUGCAUGAAUGUUUAUGACACGGAAUCAUGAAGACUUUCAGCAUUGGAGAAAAGGAUACGCUUUUUAAUACUGAGCAAAAUUGAAUAGAAAAUAUUACGCUGUUCAACCAACUGUGUAUUAUUUUAGUGUACAUUUAUUCAGGAAGAGCUACUUAGGAGUCUUAUGAAAACCUAGAUUCCUGUGGCCAAGCCAUCCAACCUAGGAAGGUGGAAACACUGGGACUCCAUGACAUGGCUUCAUACAGCAUAUGAACGUGCAGUUAUAGGUUUGAUGUGGCAAAAGCUGAAUUUUUCAACAUUUUCAUUUUUAUGCAUUCCAAAAUUAAGGUAACAGAAUUCUGACUUGCAUUCAAGCACUGUUGUGGUUAUUCUGUAGAAUUUAAAUGAGCCUUAGUGUCUUUCUCACAUGCAGCGCCAUCAGCUGUCUUUAAAAUACCAGGUAUUCCUUCAGGAAGGUAGUAGAGGGGCACUGUGGAGACUCCAUGCAUGUUAACCCCUCUGUCCACAUGCUAUUAUGGCUGAAAGGCCACCCUCACGUUUCACUGGAGCCUUCUCUUCUCCAGGCCAAACAGCUCCAGCUCUCUUAGUAUGUCCAUCCCUUGGAUCUUGUUUGUGGCCUUCCUCUGGAUGUGCUGUAGCCAGUCUGUGUCUCUCCUGUACUGAAGACUCCACAUCUGGACACAGUUCUCCAGGUGAAAUCUCACCAGCACAGAGUAGAGGGGCAGGACCACCUCCUUCAGCCUGCUGACCACACUUCUACACACUGUGUUUAACCCACAGUGGGACUCAGAAGUGUGAGGUUAGCUGUUUGGUGGUAAAAUCCAUGGAAAGGGACUGCCAAGAACAGCAGUGUUCUCAAGUGACUCUUCCCCAGUCACGUAAAUGUUCACAUAAACCUUAAGCAUCCUGGGAGCCCAAAUGAAACAUGCAUGGUGCUCUCUGUGACUCCAGCCAUCCUCUCACAACAUAAUCCCAGUGAAAAAUCAACCCCUAUCAGGAUGGCUUGUCCUGCAGUGUGCCUGCAAUACUACAGAAUCAUUUCUGCUGGUGGUUUCACCAGAUACACCCAGAGGAGACUCAUGGCUGCCAGGGAGCCUGAGCAACAGGAGGUUGGGAAAGGCUGCAGCAUCCCUUUGCAGGAGGAUCUGCAGAUACUCAAACCCUUUUCUGUGAGCUGUAUCAAUCAAUACAUGAACAGAACUAAACUUUCAUCCGUGUGUUUUGUGUACGUGGCAGUCAGCGUUUAAAAGGAAGAGGACUGGAUCUGUUUUUUGAGUUAGAUUGAGGAGGGGGUUGGGGUGGGAUCUGCAAGAGAUGGAUGCUGUUUUAAAGCUUUUCUCCAGUAAUGGUGAUAACAAGUGACGUAAGACAUUCCUUAAGAUUGAUGAUUAAUCCUAAUGAAUAUGUUGCAUACAUAUGUUUCACAGCUGUCAUUAGGCUUCCAUUUUCACCACUCUUCUCCUAUUCCCACUCCCAUCCAUGCCUGCAAUCUGCAACCUCUUAUUUCCUGUAGGUAUUUUCAUAGAGAAACAGACAGGUAAUACAUGGUAAUGAUCCCAGUGUCAGACCAUAAGCCAUGAAACUGUCAGUUCAUAUCUUGUCUGACAGUCAUUGACAGCUUGCUUCUUCAAUUUUACUAGGAUUAAUAUUCUUCACAUGUUUUAUUUAUGUUUACUGAUCUAGACGCAGUGAAUUUUUAGAGACAUUUUCAUGUAAUAAAUCCCUGCUGAAAGUUAAGUCUACA